GACGUAGGGUCCAAGCGUUGUCCGGAUUUACUGGGCGUAAAGAGCGCGUAGGCGGUCCGUUAAGUGUAGAGUGAAAGCUCCGGGCUCAACCCGGAAACCGCUCUGCAUACUGGCGGACUCGAGGGUGGCAGAGGCUCGUGGAAUUCCUGGUGUAGCGGUGAAAUGCGUAGAUAUCAGGAGGAACACCCAUGGCGAAGGCAGCGAGCUGGGCCACAUCUGACGCUGAGGCGCGAAAGCGUGGGUAGCAAACAGG
rnacentral:rRNA from 1 species